CAUAAAUAAAAGGCAUUCAUCAGCUGUAAAGUCUUCUCUGCCAAAUAUAUAAACAGGGAACUGUCGCAUCAUCUCGGUAAAACCCUCAAGCAUCCGCAGACUGUCAGCCACCGCAGGUUCGCUACCACUACUUACUACCAACAUGUAAUAAAAAGCCAGGCAUGACAUAUCCCACAUCCAACAAGCGUCUCUGCGCACUAGUAUCGCCAACCGACAACACACGCAUGUUUCUCGAUGCCAAAAAGACACUGCCAACACUUAACCAGAGUUUUUUGUCCUGCUGAUGAUCGCAAAACCAUCGGUCACGAGGGCGGGCUCAGGGGGCGUUCACCGGUUCCCGUUCAUCUUGGCCAUCAUCUUGGCUAUGAUGGGCCCCACCUUCGGGUUCGCCUGGUGCUUGGUCAAGUUGGCAGGGUUGCUCAUCACUGCACCAAACAGAGGGUCAGGUCACUGCAAAGGAAGUAUCGAACAAGAACAACAUAGGCUAAAGCAGCUAAAGAAAACAACCCUAAAGCAGCAGGCAUAUAAGCAGAGAUUACAGUUCUUGUGAGCAUUAUAUCCAAGUUUAGAUAUUACAAUUUGUAUAAGCCUUAUAUCCAAGUUUAAGAAUACGCAAGGUUCAAAGAUUUAGUGUAGCUCAUAUAAAAUGGUACCUCCCAUCUAAAUAUUUGAGCCAUGCAAUACUACCCUGACGAGUAAGAAAGUACAGGACCAGAACAAUGUAGCCUACAGCAGUUCUCACACACAACCCUAAAGCAGCAAAUACAUCGUGAUACAAGCAAACGGUUAUGUCCUAACAAUUAGAACUUUCACUAGACAUGGAUGCAUACAAGGAAUGUUGAUACCAUGAGUACUAACCUGAACUAUUAGAAUAUAUCUACUAAUCUAGUAGUAUAAGAAUAAAGAUAUCGUCAAACGCAUCACAUAAAGUGGCCUCUAGUGAUAAAAAAUUAUCUGCCGCACCAGAUUUCAGGAUUGAGCAUACAUCACUAGCAUGCUUGCAUGUUCAGAAUAUUCAAUCAAACUAAUCCGCACCUUGCAUAACUCACCAAAUAUGCCCACUGUACUCCAAAAACAGACUAAAUACUCCCUCCGUUCGGAAAUACUUGUCGACAAAAUGAACAAAAAGGGAUGUAUCUAGAUGUAUAUUAGUUCUAGAUACAUCCCUUUUUAUCUAUUUUGAUGACAAGUAUUUUCGGACGGAGGGAGUACUAUGCAAAGAAAUAUGUUGCACUUAUGACCACUGCUAUUAUUAAGAGAAAUUUAUAUUCAAUCAGCUGUUUUCCAGCACCAGGACUUGACCAGGAAGAUCAACUACAACAGGCAACUGUACUAUAAAGUAAAUGGGGAUUAGAGAACUAUUUGAGUAGAAAACUGUACCAUCUUGAAGGGCCGCCAUAACCUCUGGGUCACCAAAUGCUGCCAUCAGGUCAGGGUCCUGUUUCAAAGAGAAGAAAGAAGAACAUUGUGUAAAACAGGUUUCUCCAGUAUCAAGAGUUAUGGUUACAAGGAAGACAGGCAGACACUGGGCAAGCACUUACAUUCAAGAUGUCACCCAUAUCAACAUUCCCAGGAGCACCUCCAGCUCCAGGCAUACCACCUCCCAUUCCUCUGCCACCGCCCAUUCCAGGCAUACCACCUCCCAUUCCUGCGGGCAUACCGCCCCCCAUUCCUGCGGGCAUACCUCCACCCAUUCCUGCGGGCAUACCUCCACCCAUUCCUCCAGGGAAACCACCCCCCAUUCCUCCGGGGAAGCCACCAGGCAUUCCACCCAUGCCUCCUGGGAAUGGGAAGCCACCGGGCAUUCCACCAGGCAUGCCUCCUGAAGAG
rnacentral:lncRNA from 1 species